CAUUGGUCAGUGGGUGGUGAGCAAUUGCAUUGUGCAUCCCUUUUUUGUUUUCUCCUACAUAACCCUGAUGGGAGGGAGUGAGCCAGCAGCUGUGUUGUGUUUAGUUGCCUGCUGAAUUAAACAAUGACAUCCAUGUGUGGAUGACCUUCCCACAGGACCCCUCCUGAGAUGACAUCUUUCCCUACAGCUCUGCCGCAGGCUGUGCCUGCAUGGACAAGCACCCAAGGAGAUGCUGGAGUUGCCCAGGAGCUCCCUUUUCUGUGACCCAUUUCACCGAAGCCAAAGUGUUACAUCAGGAAGACAUUUUCCAGCAGCUAUUUACUGCCAUCCAAAAGAAGGGCAGCAUGACAUUAUAUUGUAGACUGAAGCAGGCAAAUGUUUCUCUAAGUAAAUAAAUGAUCAAUUAUAUGCA